AUUGAACGCUGGCGGCAGGCUUAACACAUGCAAGUCGAACGAAGUGUUGGUGCUUGCACUAACACUUAGUGGCGAACGGGUGAGUAAUACUUGGGAAUUUGCCUUGUAGCGGGGGAUAACGUUUUGAAAGGAACGCUAAUACCGCAUACGUCCUUCGGGAGAAAGGAGGGGAUUUUUGGACCUUUCCCUAUAAGAUGAGCCCCAGCGAGAUUAGCUAGUUGGUAAGGUAAAGGCUUACCAAGGCGACGAUCUCUAGCUGGUUUGAGAGGAUGAUCAGCCACACUGGGACUGAGACACGGCCCAGACUCCUACGGGAGGCAGCAGUGGGGAAUAUUGGACAAUGGGCGAAAGCCUGAUCCAGCCAUGCCGCGUGUGUGAAGAAGGCCUUCGGGUUGUAAAGCACUUUAAGCGAGGAGGAAUGGCUUUGGGUUAAUACCCUUGAGCAGUGACGUUACUCGCAGAAUAAGCACCGGCUAACUUUGUG
rnacentral:rRNA from 1 species